rnacentral:lncRNA from 1 species
CAACUUUUAAAAGAAGCUGAUGUGUGCUGGACAUCAGCUAGGUGUAUCUUUACUAUGCUAUGUAAAGAUAUUGUGAAGAUGUUCUCUCAUUUGACUUUGCCCAGGUUUCUAGUUCCUUCCUCUUUGCUCUUCUCAAAAUAAAGAUCCAGUGGAGGACAGAUGGCAGACGUUGGAUUAAUCUGUGUAGACCUGUCUGCUCAAGAUCUGGCUGUGGAGCUGCUGACACCGAAGAGCACGUGCUUGUGGGUAUUGGUUGGCAGAGCUCUUCUGGCCUUCCCGCAGACCUGUCUAAGUAUGCUCAGAGCUCUACAUGCCUGGCUUCUUACUAUUAUUUGGAAUUUCUGCCUGUGUCCUAUGUUUAAUUAGGAAAUGACCUAUUGUGACUUGCUCUGGCCAUCCCUCCCCCAUGUCACAAGACUCAGCUUGUUUUGAUUUUCUUAAGGUUUGGGCUAGAAACAAAAACAAAGAUUUUUCUUAAAGCAAUUUUCUCUAAAGCUGCUUUGAGACUUUUCCUCAUAGGUGGAAAGAUCAUGGAAUCAGCUGCUUCCUUCAGGUCUUCCAGGACAGGGCUGGGUUGAGAAUCGUGGAACGGCCCUGCUUGACCAUUUGUUAUGACUAUACCAUAACAAUACAUUUUUAAUUGACUUUGUUAGUACUUUCAUAGAAUACUAUGUUCUUCAUGAAUUGUUACUGAUGUAAAUGUACAAAUAUUGACACCACGUGUCAUUCCUUGUCCUGGAUAAUUCCUCCUGAGUUUAUGUCAUUGUCUGGUCUGUUGUAAACAGAACACUGGAUUGACCUUCUGAGCCAGCUAGCUGCUUACUCACUGCACGCAUAGUUAAAAGAUAUACACAUUUCUAAUUUCAAAAAUAGUUCUAGGAGCUACAGAGAUGGCCGAGUGGUUAUGUUUCUUGCUGAGGACCCAAGUUCAGUUCCCAGAACUCAUGUAGAGUGUUUCACCAACUUCCUAUAACUUCAGCAUUAGGGAUUCUAAUGCCUCUGGCUUCUCUGGGCAUCUGCACACUGGCUUGUGUAUGAACACACACACAUAUACACACACACAUAUAUCUUAAAAAUAAGUACAUUUGCUAGGGGAGGUGGUGCAAGCCUUUAAUCCCAGCACUUGGGAAUCAGAGGCAUGUGGAUCUCUGAGUUUGAGGGCAGUCUGGACUACAGAACAAGUUCCAGGACAGCCAGGGCAACACAGAGAAAAGCCUGUCUUGAAAAACCAGAUAAAUAGAUAAAUAAAAUUUAAAAACGUCCAUGAUUUGGGGUAUACCUUAGUGGCACAUCACUGGCAUGUAUUGUGAAGCUCUUGGGUUGAUCACCAGCAGCAGAUGUGGGACAGAAAGAUAAAGGGGAGACAACAAAAAUAACCCCAAAACUUCUAAUACUAAAAGACAAGGAAACGUUUUUGUUUUUUGGGUUUUUUUGUUUUUUUUUUGUUUGGUUGGUUUUUUUUUUUUUUUUUUGGUUUUUCAAGACAGGGUUUCUCUGUAUAGUCCUGGCUGUCCUGGAACUCACUUUGUAGACCAGGCUGGCCUCGAACUCAGAAAUCCGCCUGUCUCUGCCUCCCAAGUGCUGGGAUUAAAGGCGUGCGCCACCACUGCCCGGCCGGAAAGUAUUUUUUUAAUUCAUUGUUUUGCCUGCAUGUGUGUCUUUAUGAGGGUGUUGGAUCCCCUGAAAUUGGAGUUACAGAUAAUUAUGAGCUGCCAUGUUGCUCCUGGGAAUUGAAUUCGGGUCGUCUUGAAGAUCAGCCAUCUUACCAGCUCCUGUUUUGUUUGUUUUUAAACCCGAUCAUGAUGGCACAUACAUAUAAUCUUAGUAAUUUGGAAGCAUAAGAGUGCAUAGUGGUUCAAGGCCAGCUUGGGCUACAUAUUGAGACCAAGUUUCAAAAAAAUGUUUAUGAUCACAAUUUCUCAAAUAUUAGGAUUAUCAUCUGUCUUCAGAUGGUGGUUCACACUUUUAAUCCCAGCACUUAGGAGGCAGAGGCAGGUGAUUCUCUGUGAGUUUGAGGCUAGACUGGUCUACAAAGCCAAAUCCAGGACCCCCAGGGCUCUGUUACACAGAAAAACCUUGUCUCAAGAAAAGUAAAAAUGAUGAGUCAGAGGAGAUUAAAGAGAAUUAAAGCUGUUCAAGGGAUUCGGCCAAGUAAACUUUACUUUGUGCCUUAAAAACAGCACAAAACAAGUGGCUUUGUGAUCCUGCUCUCAGAUGAUCACUUUGCUCAGUGAUAAUAACAGAUGCUCAGCACAGCCUCCUGUCACAUCUGUCCAAGUGAUGUCUUCUUUUUUUUUUUGUUGUUUUUUUUUGUUUUUUUUUUUUGUUUUUGGAGACAGGGUUUCUCUGUGUAGCCAUGGCUGUCCUGGAACUCACUUUGUAGACCAGGCUGGCCUCGAACUCAGAAAUCCACCUGCCUCUGUCUCCCGAGUGCUAGGAUUAAAGGCGUGCGCCACCACCGCCCAGCAAGUGAUGUCUUCUUAACAUUGGAAAGGGGUAAAGAAAGAUGUUAGUACAGAUGGGAAACAAUGCCGGCUCCUCCUGAGAUUGCAUUUACCUAUGUAACCCAUAGUGUCCUUGAACUCUAGAUUCUUCUAAGUCAUCGUUCUCAGGACUGAGAUUACAAGUACGUGUCACCACUUCUGACUCCUGCCUUUGAACAUCAAUCUUUUGUUUUUUCUUAACACGUAAAUAUUGAUCUCCCUGUGAGGCGGCCUCUUCAUCUCUUCAUUCUCCCACCCUUCGUUUAUUAUGCUAGGCAUAGUACUCAGGGCUUCAGGAAUGCUAGGCUGCUAUUCUUUCUCUGAGACAUGGCCUCCAGCCUGUUUUUCUUAGUUUAUCAAUGCCUUUGCUCUCCCCAUGAAUUAGAACAGGACAUGCUGAUUGUGGACAAAUAGUAUCCACCACAAUUAGAGUGUAGUAGGUUUUAACUUCAGUGUCUCUGAAGUACGUUUUCCUGGGUACUCUGAUCCUGACUUUGCCAGCUGCUGGACCCUUCCUAAUAUGUCCAAGUUUAGUUUGAAUUAAAUCAAGUUGGCUAGUUGUGUGUUUGUGGGGUUUUUGUUUGUUUUUACUUUUCAUUUCUGGGACUCAAGCUGCAUACUAAAUUCAUUUGUAAUGUCUGGACUUAAUAAUAAUGUAAUUGUGAGUAUGUUCGUUCAAUGUUCGUUCAAUGUUGGCACUUUGGAAAAGGCCACAGUUUAGGGUGGACAAUUGUCUGCAUCAAAGCCAAGUCAUAUUUGCUUUAUACCAAACAAUACUAGAGAAUUAAAACACAUCAUAAAAUGUACACUGUUUUGUAUUUCACCUCUUUCAGUAUUUAAAUAAUUAUAUUAAUGCCUCCUAGAAAAGAAUUCUGUUAGAUAAUUCAGUGAUUCCUGAAAUAAAUUGGUAUUGUGUAAUU